AUACUUACCUGGCAGGGGAGAUACCAUGAUCACGAAGGUGGUUUUCCCAGGGCGAGGCUUAUCCAUUGCACUCCGGAUGUGCUGACCCCUGCGAUUUCCCCAAAUGCGGGAAACUCGACUGCAUAAUUUGUGGUAGUGGGGGACUGCGUUCGUGCUCUCCCCUG
ensembl:snRNA Gm24924 predicted gene, 24924